GAGACGGCGAGCAGCGCGGCAGAAGUGCUUCAUCUGAUGAGUGAGGUUUCCCUGGAGGCCGGACUGAGGAACAGCAGCGCGGCUCGAGCGCGGCGGAAACGCUUCAUCUCUAGGAAAGAUAUAUUAAGGCAAUUUUGGACUAUCACAACCGCGUGCGUUCACAGGUCUUCCCACCCGCAGCAAACAUGGAAUAUAUGGAUGAGAGACUGGGCCGCUCAGUGCAAAUGGGAUCAUGGACCGUCUCAUGAUUUGCGACACAUUGAACAGAACCUGUCCAUCAUCUCUGGAAGGUCCAGACCCUUACAACAACAACAUAGUGUGACGUCACGUGACAUGUGGCCAAACACAGAUCAAUCAUUGACCUAGUAAGGUCCUGGUAUGAUGAAAGACACUAUUUCUCCUACCCCAAUAGAUGCAGUGGCUCUGUCUGCACACACUACACUCAGAGAAAAAUCAGUAAAACACAGUGGUGGGGAGCAGAAGAGACAACAUGGUCAACGUGAACGCUCAGGUCAGCACCC